rnacentral:rRNA from 1 species
UACGGAGGGUGCAAGCGUUAUCCGGAUUCACUGGGUUUAAAGGGUGCGUAGGCGGAACAGUAAGUCCGUGGUGAAAUCUCUGAGCUUAACUCGGAAACUGCCGUGGAUACUAUUGCUCUUGAAUAUUGUGGAGGUUAGCGGAAUAUGUCAUGUAGCGGUGAAAUGCAUAGAUAUGACAUAGAACACCAAUUGCGAAGGCAGCUGGCUACACAGUUAUUGACGCUGAGGCACGAAAGCGUGGGGAUCAAACAGG